rfam:Schistosoma haematobium scaffold2343_1, whole genome shotgun sequence.
GCACUGCUGAGGAGUCCCACAAUAGGACGAAAUGGUUAUCCAGUGC